UACGGAGGGAGCAAGCGUUACUCGGAAUUAUUGGGCGUAAAGGGCGCGUAGGCGAUUUGAAAAGUCUUGUGUGAAAGCCCCGGGCUUAACCCGGGAAGUGCACAAGAAACUGUUGAAUUUGAGUUCCGGAGAGGAAGGCAGAAUUCCCGGUGUAGCGGUGAAAUGCGUAGAUAUCGGGAGGAAUACCAGUGGCGAAGGCGAGUCCCUGGACAUCUCCUGACACUGAGGCACGAAAGCUAGGGGAGCAAACAGG
rnacentral:rRNA from 1 species